GCACGUGGAGUUCACGUGUCAGUGGCCGCACUGAAAGAGGAUUGGAGCUGAGAAACCGGCGGAUGGCGAGGAUUCUCCCCAAGGCUCCCGCCGCCGCCGCAGCCUCCAUCGAACUAGCCGGCCUCCGCUCGCCAUUCCCCUCCUAAUCCUCCUCCGCCGUCCCCCUGUCCACCCGGAGCUGGCCUCUGCUCUGUUCCUCUCCGUGGGCCCUGUCCUCCCUGCGGUCGUGGCUGCGGUGAGCUCUGAGUUCUGUGAUAUCCUAAAACUCUAGCUCUCUAUUCCGCAUUUUUCUUGAUCACUUGGAGACUUCCGAUUGCUCGUGUGCCUGGUGAACUACUUAAUCUCAGCCAUUAGUUUCGCUUCAAGAUUGCAUCUUUUUCCUAAAGAAGCGUGUGCAUUAUUGCUGGGCCGGAAGAUGGUAUUAAAUCGGGCGUUCUUACUGUAUUUUUGGGUUUGCCAAGACAGUGGAUCUUAUAGAGGCCAGAGGAACAGCAAUGAGGGAUACUGACUUUGUAAAAGGUGGCAAAACAGUGAUUGUUUUUAUCAAAGAUCCUGAUUAUUAUAAGUUUGAGCUUUUGGAAAGGGCCCCAACACCAUAGCCCUUGUGUCGACUUUAAUCACCGUACUUCUCCCUAAAAGCUAAGGUUAUUUCUAGAUCAGCAUGUCACUUUUUGGGAGGAAAUGUUCGAUCCUUAGCUAUGUUCAUGGCACCUAGUAUGGAGCUUCUCCGCAAACAAGGGAAUGCUGAAUUCAAGGGCUUUGUUGACAAUAUAGGUUUUGCCAUAGAGACAGAGCAAUCAAUGGCCAUGAAUGAGUUUAGUGCUGUAUCUACAUCUCAAGUGAGUGCCUCUCACUCAACGGUGCCAGUGCUGGACCAAUCUUGCAAAGCAUCUGCAUCAGAUUUCACUUUGUACAUGGAUCGUCUUUGUAUAUACUUCUAAUUUGCAUAUGGUUUGCUAUCGGUUGUAAAGUUGCAGUUUCUUAGCCAAGUGCAAUGAAAGUUCAAUCAUGGAGGAUGUUCUAUAUUUUGGAUUGUCAUACAUUUACCUGUCUGUUGGAGUCUAUGUAAAGAUCAAAGGAACAAGCAUUUUCUCAGUUUAAGAAUGUUCAGCCAACUCUAGCUGAUGCUUCA